ensembl:lncRNA
CAAAGGUGGGAUGCAAACACUUCUAUAUUCUGAUGGCUGUCUUUUUUUUUCCCCCUCACAGAGCUGUAAGAUUUGUGUCUUUGGCACCUAUUAUACUUGAUAACCAUAGAUUUCUGGUGCUUUUUUUAGCACCAGGCUUACUGUCUUUGCAAUUAGUCAUUGUAGAAAAUCUAUAAAGUCGCCAUGAUGAUAAAAUAAAAUCAUGAUUAGAAAGGAUAAAAAAAAUCUACCAGCCUGAAUUCAGGUCAAGAUCAGCAACGAUUAUUUUGAAAAAAGUCCUAUUUUUGAAUUUCUUUGGCUAUGCUAGUCAUCAGCUCUCUUGUAUCAGAUAGCAAAAUGAUGAUUUUUCUCUUAGAUGAAAUCCUGAUCCUGAAAAAAAAAUGUAGGCCUGUAAAUUUAGCACACUAGAAUUCAGUAGGUUUAUGCCUAUGUCUGUUGUAACUCAAGCAAUCAUUUACAAAAUUGGCUUUUCCUGUCCUCGCUCUGCAAAAUCUGACUGCUAAUCAUGUCACUUGUUUUAUUGAGACCUACAGUAUGAGCCGGUUUGAUGUGAUCAGAAAAAUCAGAAGAGCCUGGGGCGUUACGUUCAAAGUAAACCAGCUCUACCUAGAGCUGUAUUUCAUUGCUGUGACAAUGCAGGAUGUGUCCUUACAGAGCAGUCUACGGGGAGGUGGCCAACCCCGUUAUAAUUGAGACAAACUCUGGGGUUUCCGCUACUUCCCCUGGAGGGAAGAUUUCAAAAUUCAGUGACGUUUGCAAUGAGGAAACGUUUCCUGGUGCGCUGCCACAUUCAGUUUCGCUCAGCUUCGUUCCGCAGCAGUUAGCGAUCGCCGUCUGACCAGCCUCACUGCUUUCCUCCCGACAUGGACCACAAUGGGAUCUCACAUGUCAGCCUGCUGCAGCUCAGCAGGCUCGUUCCAAGGACCACAUCGUCCUGGUGACGCGUUACGUCUGCACCCCAAUGGGACAGAGGCAGGUCUGCUGGCCGCUGGCACAAAGGAACACGCUCAUCUUCUGCUCAGUACAUCUUUCCAGCUAGAGUUUAAAAACCUGAUUUUUUUUUUAGGCCUACCAAAGACCUUAAAAAUAUUGCUCUGCGGGGAUAUUAAAGUCAUGAUGGCGUAUUUGGCAAGAGUAGGAGUUUGCCUUGGAAUCCCUGGCAUUUCCUCUCCAGGCCCACGUGUUUGCUGACUGUCUGUCUGUCUGCUGCUCUCCAGCCCAAAGUGGCACAUUGCAGUUACAUAUAUAGCGUGCAGCUCAUAAAAUGCUUUCCUUUCCAUUAAAGCUGUUAAUCAAUUAUAGCUGGAUAGUUUAGUCCUCAGCUCAGAGUCAUGAUGUUGAAGAAAUUUUUUUACGCUAAAAGGACUUGAACUACCAGAUAUUGGUAGUCCUUGACCUUGGAGCAGUUUGAGAAAUAGUACAUUUUUAUUGCUAUAGAUGCAGAGAGACGUCCCAAAAACCUAUAGAUCAAAGGACUACUGUUUUUGCACUAGGGAACUAUGCAGGUGAAACAAUGCACAAGGGAGAAAGAUAACCAAAAUUUUUCUCCAGGGCUAGAAUAUAGCUUUACCAAACUUGCAUUAUUUUGCAAAUUUGUAUAAGCUUUGGACAAAUUUGUGAUCUUCCAGAUCAAUUAACUCUUAAAAGCCUUUGAGACAGCCAGUUUAUUGACAUAAGAGGAGACCAUCUAUGGCAACUGCCAGCCUGGCCCAGCUGAAUGUCUCCUUACGUCCUCAGAAGCUUCUGCUCUGACCCGGGAUAGCCUUCAACGCAUAACCAAAAGGGUUUCAAAUAGCGUCUCACUUUCAUCUACCAGUCCCUUGCUUGUGCUGAUGAUUGAUGAAGACCCCAGUAUGAGGCUGGAUUAUUCUCUGUGAUCUCCCAUAUCUUGCUAACUGCAAUAAGCAAAAUGCAGUGGGACAUACAAUAAGAGAAGGAACUUCCUGGCUUUGACAUCUGAAAACUGGGCUCUUAGAUUACCACUAAGCCAGGAGAAGGGGAGCUGCUGUUCAGGAAUAGGAUACAAUAACUUUUGAAAUGUACUAUGUGACCUGGAAGUUCAGCUUAUUUCUAAAUAAUGUAGCCCCUUGCUAUGCAACAGAACAGUCAGGAAGUUUACAAUAAAGAAUAAAAACAGUUGUUCCCUGCCA